rnacentral:rRNA from 1 species
AACGAACGCUGGCGGCAUGCCUAACACAUGCAAGUCGAACGAAGCCUUCGGGCUUAGUGGCGCACGGGUGCGUAACGCGUGGGAAUCUGCCCUUGGGUUCGGAAUAACAGUUAGAAAUGACUGCUAAUACCGAAUGAUGUCUUCGGACCAAAGAUUUAUCGCCCAAGGAUGAGCCCGCGUCGGAUUUAGCUAGUUGGUGAGGUAAAGGCUCACCAAGGCGACGAUCCGUAGCUGGUCUGAGAGGAUGAUCAGCCACACUGGGACUGAGACACGGCCCAGACUCCUACGGGAGGCAGCAGUGGGGAAUAUUGGACAAUGGGCGAAAGCCUGAUCCAGCAAUGCCGCGUGAGUGAUGAAGGCCUUAGGGUUGUAAAGCUCUUUUUACCCGAGAUGAUAAUGACAGUAUCGGGAGAAUAAGCUCCGGCUAACUCCGUGCCAGCAGCCGCGGUAAU